UACAAUUAUUGUCACAGUAGAGGAGAAUGAUAUUUGAUGGCAUCACAUCCAAUUCUGCAACAAAUUUUUUGAACCAGAAUACCCCUUUUGCAGCUUUCGAUGCGGUGAUGUACUUGCUUCCAUAGUAGAGUCUGCUAUGAUUGGCUGUUUGAAACUCUUCCAACUCAUAGCACCACUAUUGUAUAAGUAUAUACUGUCUGAUGUUGACUUUCAAUCAUCAAUAUCAGACAUGAAGUCUGAAUCAGUAUAUUUUUGCACCCUUAAUUCUCUACCUCCAA
rnacentral:lncRNA from 1 species